rnacentral:rRNA from 1 species
UACGUAGGGACCAAGCGUUGUCCGGAAUCAUUGGCGUAAAGAGCGUGUAGGCGGCUUGUUAAGUCUUGCGUGAAAUCUCGGGCUCAACCCCGAGCGGUCGUGAGAAACUGGCAGGCUAGAGUGCGGGAGAGGAGAGUGGAAUUCCUGGUGUAGCGGUGAAAUGCGCAGAUAUCAGGAAGAACACCCGUGGCGAAGGCGGCUCUCUGGAACGCAACUGACGCUGAGACGCGAAAGCGUGGGGAGCAAACAGG